rnacentral:rRNA from 1 species
UGGGGAAUAUUGGACAAUGGGCGCAAGCCUGAUCCAGCAAUGCCGCGUGUGUGAAGAAGGCCUUCGGGUUGUAAAGCACUUUUAUCAGGAGCGAAACGCUGUCGGCUAAUACCCGGCGGAACUGACGGUACCUGAGGAAUAAGCACCGGCUAACUUCGUGCCAGCAGCCGCGGUAAUACGAAGGGUGCAAGCGUUAAUCGGAAUUACUGGGCGUAAAGCGUGCGUAGGCGGUUUCUUAAGUCUGCUGUGAAAUCCCCGGGCUCAACCUGGGAAUGGCAGUGGAUACUGGGAGGCUAGAGUGUGUCAGAGGGUGGUGGAAUUCCCGGUGUAGCGGUGAAAUGCGUAGAGAUCGGGAGGAACAUCAGUGGCGAAGGCGGCCACCUGGGACAACACUGACGCUGAGGCACGAAAGCGUGGGGAGCAAACAGGAUUAGAUACCCUGGUAGUCCACGCCCUAAAGCGAUGCGAACUGGAUGUUGGUCUCAACUCGGAGAUCAGUGUCGAAGCUAACGCGUUAAGUUCGCCGCCUGGGGAGUACGGUCGCAAGACUG